rnacentral:rRNA from 1 species
GACGAACGCUGGCGGCGUGCUUAACACAUGCAAGUCGAACGGAAAGGCCCUGCUUUUGUGGGGUGCUCGAGUGGCGAACGGGUGAGUAACACGUGAGUAACCUGCCCUGGACUUUGGGAUAACUUCAGGAAACUGGGGCUAAUACCGUAUAGGAGCUCCUGCUGCAUGGUGGGGGUUGGAAAGUUUCGGCGGUUGGGUUUGGACUCGCGGCUUAUCAGCUUGUUGGUGGGGUAGUGGCUUACCAAGGCUUUGACGGGUAGCCGGCCUGAGAGGGUGACCGGCCACAUUGGGACUGAGAUACGGCGCAGACUCCUACGGGAGGCAGCAGUGGGGAAUAUUGCACAAUGGGCGGAAGCCUGAUGCAGAAACGCCGCGUGCGGGAUGAAGGCCCUCGGGUUGUAAACCGAUUUCGCCUGUGACGAAGUGUGAGUGACGGUAAUGGGUAAAGAAGCACCGGCUAACUACGUG